rnacentral:tRNA from 1 species
GGGAGCAGCUGGGGUCCGGUGGCCCCCACGGUCUUCAAAACCGCUGCGGGCGCUUCUGUCGCCCGGGUGAGUUCGAUUCUCACCUGCUUCCGCCA